AGAGAAUCGUUUGAACCCGGGAGGUGGAGGUUGCAGUGAGCCGAGAUCGUGCCAUUGUACUCCAACCUGGGCGACAGGG
rnacentral:snRNA from 1 species